rnacentral:rRNA from 1 species
UACGGAGGGUGCAAGCGUUAUCCGGAUUCACUGGGUUUAAAGGGUGCGUAAGCGGAAUGAUAAGUCAGUGGUGAAAGCCCCGAGCUCAACUUGGGAAUUGCCAUUGAUACUGUUGUUCUUGAGUUCGGUUGAGGUAGGCGGAAUGUUGCAUGUAGCGGUGAAAUGCUUAGAUAUGCAACAGAACACCGAUUGCGAAGGCAGCUUACCAAGCCGACACUGACGCUGAGGCACGAAAGCGUGGGGAUCAAACAGG